UAAUACAUCGGAACAUGCCCAGUCGUGGGGGAGUAACACUUCGAAAGAAGUGCUAAUACCGCAUACGUCCUGAGGGAGAAAGCGGGGGAUCGCAAGACCUCGCGCGAUUAGAGUGGCCGAUGUCAGAUUAGCUAGUUGGUGGGGUAAAGGCCUACCAAGGCAACGAUCUGUAGCUGGUCUGAGAGGAUGAUCAGCCACACUGGGACUGAGACACGGCCCAG
rnacentral:rRNA from 1 species